rnacentral:piRNA from 2 species
CGUGGAGAGGAACAAUUCUGAGUCUUAAC